CCCGUCCGCGGAGAUGGCAUUCCUCCGGCCCCAUUCGGGCAAACCGCCGCCUCGGCUGAUGAUGCCUGCCCCACC
rnacentral:ncRNA from 2 species